CUUCGCCGCACUUCAAAAGAUAGCCAAGUGCUUCCUCCUCGUGCUUCAGCUCGGAGAUCACAAGCCAAGUGAUAGCUACUGAAAUCAAAUUCCUCAUGGCCAUGAGAAGCGUCCAGAACAGCAGCGUCGACACCAUCAACGCCGCCGCCACCGCCAUCGUCUCCGCCGAAGCGCGCGUCCAGCCUUCCUCCGUCCCCGUAACUACCUUCUCCUCCUCCUCUAGUCUUUUCUGUUUCGCUCACGCAAUUUGCAUGAUGAUAAUCUUGUUGUUUCUGUUUCAAUUCGGUUGUGAUUUUUAUGGAGGUGAUUGUGAAACUGAAAAGUAAAUGAAAAAGUAAAAAAAAGAGAGUGGGAUCUUGCUUUCUUUUCAUGUUGUUGAAUGCUGAAACUGAAAAAGUAGGUAACUUUUGGUACAUGAAAAAGUUAAAAAGUUGAGUGCUUUUGGGUUGCUUUGGAGUCUAGAAUUGAUUUUGGAAAGCAAGUAAUUAUGCAACAAUUUACUCACAAAAAAGAGAGCUUUAGAUGUUGAAUUUUUUGAUGUGGAAGAUGGGUUGGAUUCAUGACUAUCUUAAAGGUGUCUAGCAGUCAUUUGAUAAACUUCGACGAGGUGCCUUGUAAGUCAUAAGUUUGUAGUUUGAAGCUUUGAGCUUGGGUCCAAGUCAUGAAGAUAGCUAAUUGGUCAUAAUAGUGUUGUUACUAUAGCAUUGCAAUGUUAAAUGAUUGAUUUUAUGUUCGUUGUGCAAUGUGUGUACUGUGACUUCUAGACAGAAGUGGACACUUGGUUUGAAUAAUGGUGAGGGAGGGCCUGGGGGGUAUGUUACAGAUUUUGUUCUGUGAGUACAGUAAAAUCUUUGUUUAAGAAUGAUUCUUUCCUCUUAUUUAGUGAUUGUGUUCUACUAUUCUCUUUGUAGUUGUCGUUAAAUAGUUAACUGUUUGAGAUCAAUAAUUGGUUAUAUUGAUUGUUUGUACCAAUGUGUAUAGUCUAGCUUUUUAAAGGAGGCAAUAAUUCAAGACCCUUGCGAAACUAGUGCAUUUAGGGUUUGAAAUCAUUUGAUUAUAGUGAUUUUUUGUACCAAUGCGCAUUAAUGAGUGUAACGGCGGUAAUUGAAGAAGUUCUUCUUCUGAAAUAACAAACUGAUGCAUGCAAUCAUGUUAUGCUUGAGCUUUACUAGGUAGAAUUGAUCUCAAUAAUGCAUACAAUUAUAUAGUUGAAGCAUUGAGUUAUUGACAAUUUUUGUUAUUUGACUACAGAAAAGAAGAUGGGGAAGCUGCUGGAGCCUAUAUUGGUGUUUUGGAUAUCAGAAAAACAGCAAGCGAAUUGGUCAUGCGGUCCUUGUACCCGAGCCUACAGUACCAGGGGUUGCAGUUCCUGCCGCAGAAAACCAAACUUCCUCAACUUCUAUUGUACUUCCCUUCAUUGCCCCUCCCUCUUCUCCUGCAUCUUUCCUGCCAUCUGAACCACCAUCGUCUACUCAAUCACCUGGUGGAUUCAUGUCAUUCGCUGCCCUUUCUGCCAAUGCAUACUCUCCGGGUGGAACUCAGUCCAUGUUUACCAUUGGCCCUUAUGCAUAUGAGACCCAAUUAGUCUCACCACCGGUAUUCUCUACAUUCAACACUGAACCAUCUACUGCUCCAUAUACUCCCCCUCCUGAAUCCGUGCAACUGACUACACCUUCAUCCCCUGAAGUGCCAUUUGCUCAGNNNNNNNNNNNNNNNNNNNNUAAAUGGAGAUGAUGAACGGGACAUAAUUCAGUCCGUCAGAUUUGUUUUUCGAUUUUGAGAGCCUUAACGAUCACCAAAUUGGCUGAAAUUUUGCAGAGAUGAUCUACACAAGAUGAUCUAGAUAUGUCUAGAAGGAAGUUUGAGGAAAUUCGAUCGGAAAGUGGUGUAAAAAUAGAAAUCCGCAUCAAAACUCAGGUGCGGACGUCCGCACCUGAGAAUUCUUGUAUAUAUAUAUAACCUAGUUAACCUAGGUUUAUACACAUUCCUAAUCAAACUAAGACAACAAUGCCCACGUGAUAACACACUGGGCCUCCUAUUUGGGUUUUUGCUAAUUAUCAAUUGAAGCCCAUAUUUAAUAAAUGUGUAUACUGUGACUUCUAGACAGAAGUGGACACUUGGUUUGAAUAAUGGUGAGGGAGGGCCUGGGGGGGUAUAUGUUACAGAUUUUGUUCUGUGAGUACAGUAAAAUCUUUGUUUAAGAAUGAUUCUUUCCUCUUAUUUAGUGAUUGUGUUCUACUAUUCUCUUUGUAGUUGUCGUUAAAUAGUUAACUGUUUGAGAUCAAUAAUUGGUUAUAUUGAUUGUUUGUACCAAUGUGUAUAGUCUAGCUUUUUAAAGGAGGCAAUAAUUCAAGACCCUUGCGAAACUAGUGCAUUUAGGGUUUGAAAUCAUUUGAUUAUAUUGAAUUUUUGUACCAAUGCGCGUUAAUGUGUAACGGCGGUAAUUGAAGAAGUUCUUCUGCUGAAAUAACAAACGGAUGCAUGCAAUCAUGUUAUGCUUGAGCCUUACUAGGUAGAAUUGAUCUCAAUAAUGCAUACAAUUGCUUUGAGUUAUUGACAAUUUUUGUUAUUUGACUACAGAAAAGAAGAUGGGGAAGCUGCUGGAGCCUAUAUUGGUGUUUUGGAUAUCAGAAAAGUAAGCGAAUUGGUCUUGCGGUCCUUGUACCCGAGCCUACAGUACCAGGGGUUGCAGUUCCUGCCGCAGAAAACCAAACUUCCUCAACUUCUAUUGUACUUCCCUUCAUUGCCCCUCCCUCUUCUCCUGCAUCUUUCCUGCCAUCUGGACCACCAUCGUCUACUCAAUCACCUGGUGGAUUCAUGUCAUUUGCUGCCCUUUCUGCCAAUGCAUACUCUCCAGGUGGAGCUCUGUCCAUGUUUACCAUUGGCCCUUAUGCAUAUGAGACCCAAUUAGUCUCACCACCGGUAUUCUCUACAUUCAACACUGAACCAUCUACUGCUCCAUAUACUCCCCCUCCUGAAUCCGUGCAACUGACUACACCUUCAUCCCCUGAAGUGCCAUUUGCUCAGCUUCUGACAUCUUCGCUGGACCGAAGUCGUAGACACAGUGGUGGCAGUCAGAAGUUUGCAUUGUCCUAUGGCGAAUUCCAGCCUUACCAACAAUAUCCAGGAAGCCCGGGUGGCCAACUCAGAUCACCAGGAUCAGCAAUAUCAAAUUCCGGCACAUCUUCUCCUUUUCCCGACAGAUAUCCAGUGCUUGAAUUUCGCAUGGGGGAAGCUCCCAAACUCUUAGGAUUUGAACAUUUUGCCGCUUAUAAAUGGGGUUCAAGGCUGGGUUCUGGAUCAUUAACACCAGAUGGUGCGGGGUUGGGUUCCAGGCUAGGUUCUGGGACACUAACGCCAGACGGCUAUGAGCUAGGUUCAAGGUUAGCUUCUGGAUCUAUGACCCCUAAUGGUGUGGGAGUCGGUUCCAGGCUGGGUUCUGGAUGUUUGACACCCGAUGGUACAGGGCCUGCAUCUAGAGAAGCUGGCCUUCUGGAGAACAAGAUCUCUGAGGUGGCAUCCCUGGCCAACUCUGAGAGUGAAUGUCAAAAUGAUGGAAAUGUAUUUGAUCACAGGGUGUCGUUUGAAUUGACUUGUGAAGAUGUUGUGUGCUGUCUUGCAAAUAAACCAGGUGCAUCUUUUAAAACUGCAUCAGAAUCGUCAAAGGAUAAGUCAGCUGAAUUCCCAAAUGAAAGACAUGGUUCAUCAAUAACAAAUAAGUCGAGCGCUGGGGACAGUUUCAGUAGAAUUCCUGAAAAUGCUCUGGCAGAAGGGGAAGAUCAUUGUUAUCGGAAGCAUAGAUCAAUCACACUUGGAUCAACAAAGGACUUCAAUUUUGACAACACAAAAGCUGAUGUUCCCAAUAAGUCAGACCUUGGCUCAGAGUGGUGGGCAAACAAAAACGGUGCUGCUAAGGAAUCUAAACCUGGCAAUGACUGGACUUUCUUUCCAAUUCUACAAGCUGGAGUUAGAUGACAUAGGAGGGCUCAACAUUCACUUUACCUCCCCAUCUGAUGUAUAGCGUUGUAAAACCUCAGAUCACAUUGAUGAUUAAUUGAUGGAGGGCAGAGGUGAGUGUUUCUUAUGACCUGGAAAAACAAAAGAUAAAUGCAGAGGAUAUAGAAUGUAGAAUUGUUAGUGUGAGUACUAAAAAGGAAUUCUUUAGAAUAUCUCUUUACUUGAUGUUAUACAAAAGGAUAGCAUUCACUUGUUGUAGAUGUUGUUGUUCUGGAUUAUUUUUUCCUCAAUUUGUAAUAAAGAAAAGUUCUUUACCCCCAUGAAUGUUCUCUUUUGGUUCAUAAUCUCUGUUUUCUUAAUAUUGGUGUUCUUCACGAUUUUCUUUCUCUCUUUUUCAUGAUUCUUUGAUAAUAGAAAUCUAACAAACUUGGGUGUCUUGAAGAUGUAGGGCAUGAACUUCAUUCUCUGGUCCAAUGUUUGUAGGGUAAUGUAAGUUGGUGUCAACACUUGUAAUGCUGGCUGAGGUCCUAAGGAUAACCAUGUAUAUAUAGAUAUGAUUGAUUGAAGUUUGCUGGGGACUAAUGGCCAAACCUUGUCCUUGUCCUUCCCCACUUGCCCAAAUACAGAUUAUAGGCUUGAACUUAGAAGGAACCAGGCUAUGACCAACAAACCAGGAGACCAUGAUAAACAACAAAGAAAUAGAGCCAAAUGAGCAUUAUUUUCAGGACCAAUUCUAAAAUUUUAUGGCUCAAAUUCCAACCUCAUCACUAUCAGGAAUUCAGGAUGUUAUAGAAGCAUACACUGUAGUGUGGCAAAUUACAGACCAAAAGAUCUAUCUGUCUAUCAAUGCCGACCUAUUCUCAUAUGGUUUUAGCUUCUAUGUGGUGAAGGUUCAACCUUGUUGUUGUUAAGGAAGGUCAUCUUGGACUUUUAUUGCAUUGUUUCCAAGUUCUAUUUAUUAAUUUCAUAUGAAAAUGAUAUAUACCUACAGAAGCUAACAUUACCCGUGAAAUAUUGAACACCCUUUUGAUGUCUAUACUUCAAUAAUGUCUGUCACAUGAUCAAGGCAAACUAUCUUUUAUGGCAUCUAAAUUGGUUUAUUCGAUUCGUUUUGAUUUUGUUUUCUUUACUAAUUCUGACAAUCGAAAAACCGAACGUGUUAGUCUAGAAAUGACGUAUUAUAAAACACAGGUGUUCCAUUUCUAAUUUUUCUGCAUAACACCUGCUUUCAGUUGUGAUUAGAAAAACAUCUUUAAGUUGACAUUUAACAAUAUAUAGCAAAGUCUUAUUUGGCUUAAGUAUGAACUUGGGCUGCUCUUACCCAUACUGCAAAAAAAAUAUAUAUAGAAAGCUUUGCCUCACAUAUAUACAAGUAUUAAGUAAACAUGUUUGAUGAGUUAUGAGUCAUGAGUCAGUAUCCGAUGGAGUUGUCACGUUUCCAUCCAAUGCCAACAAAAUAUAAACAUAUAGGUAGCAUAUACAGCUCGAUUAACAUUACCUCUUUGUCGCUCUCGCCUAUAUAUGUUAAAGAAAUUUUGUUCUCAUUUUCUAGAGUCAGCAGAAUAAGAUCUCCAGAUCCGUAACAGUCGUGCUUUACUAAAAUACAGCAGAAACAUAACAAGAGAGCAACCGGUUAUGAUAUAUUCCGAGCUUUACCUCAUAGGAUUUGUUAUCUUUAGCCGAUCUCAAUGUCCAAAACGCGAAGUAUGUCAUGCACCGAAAUAUGAUAGAAUGUAAUGUUUGAACGUUGAACAGUAAAUAAAAUUUAUGUAAGUAGAGUUUGUAAACUGAUGUGACAGUUUACAGUUGCGUUAUAUUGUUGCAAACCUCACAACAGACUUUGUGAUAUGUUACUGCCACCUUCCACCGACUUUGUUUAUCUAAGACACUGAUUGGUACAACCUUAGACCGAGCAACACCAAGAGUUACUAUAUAUAGAUUAUAGUUGUUUAACAAACACAGAGAUUACGAACUUAGGACCCAUGCUUCACCCAUAUUGUCGUGAAAGCCUUUUUCUCUUUCUUUUUGUUUGUUUCUGAGUUUCUCAGAUGUGGGAGAUGAUAAGAAUCUCCACUUAUUACAGAGAUCCUCAUAUGUUUAAUCAACCACAAAAGAUAUUAGAGCCUAUAUAUGAUGGAUGUCCAUCUCGUCCAAAAUCACCAACCUUCUUUUUCAUCAAGUGCUUGCUUUUGAUUUUUACAGCUGCAGAAGACUAGCAGCUUAUACAGCUCUUCCCCAUUACACCAUUUAAUUCUUUGAGGUGAGGAGGAUUUGAUUGUUUGAGGUGUUCUUUUUUUCUUUCUUGUUCUGAAGUUGAAUGGAAUUGAAUCAUGUGGUUCUCUUUUUCUGAAGUAGUAUUUCACAUAUGUGUUUUCUCAGAUGAGCUCAUAACCCUCGUUGCUUUUUUUUGGUCAAACAUAAUCUCAUUGCUUGGACAUGAAUGAUUGGCAGUCUGUUUUGCUUUCUUCCAUACUUUCUAGUUCUGUUAUAUAGAUAUACAGAUAUCAUAAGCUAUGGGAAUUGAGGUGAUUGACAGUUUCAACCUUGCCUAGCUGAUACAAGUUGUGUUUUAUAUUGUUUGAUCAAGUUUCCAAUGAAAUGAUGCAUUGCUGUUUCACAUUCAUGACAUGACCUUGUAUAUAUAACCAAUAGUCUUAUUGUUAAUUGGUUUUCCUGUUUAGGGCCUCUAAGAUUUUGAGCUUCUUAAGUUGUAAACAUGGCAAUGGCUUCUUCUGUCAAAGUGGUUCUAGGCUCCAUUGCCUUUGCAAUCUUCUGGAUGUUGGCGGUGUUUCCAGCUGUCCCUUUUCUUCCCAUUGGGAGGACAGCAGGGUCUCUUUUAGGGGCAAUGCUGAUGGUUGUGUUCCGAGUCCUAACUCCGGAUCAAGCCUAUGCUGCUAUUGAUCUCCCAAUUCUUGGCCUUUUGUUUGGGACAAUGGUUGUAAGUAUAUAUCUUGAAAGAGCAGAUAUGUUUAAGUAUUUGGGGAAGUUGCUCUUAUGGAAAAGCCAAGGAGCAAAGGACUUGAUAUGUAGGGUCUGUUUGAUUUCUGCCAUUUCAAGUGCUCUUUUCACCAAUGACACCUCUUGUGUGGUUUUGACUGAGUUUGUACUAAAAGUUGCAAGACAACAUAACUUACCGCCUCAUCCAUUCCUGCUUGCACUUGCUUCCAGUGCAAAUAUUGGGUCUGCAGCUACCCCAAUUGGCAAUCCUCAAAACCUGGUUAUAGCUGUUCAGAGUAACAUUCCUUUUGGAAAGUUUGUUGUAGGAAUUUUCCCUGCAAUGCUUGUAGGAGUUUGUGUGAAUGCUUUACUUCUUUUGUGUAUGUACUGGAAGUUGUUGUCUAUCCAGAAGGAUGUGGAAGAUGCAACUGGAGAUGUUGUCGCGGAGGAGGAUGUGAGUUCUCAUCGGUUUUCACCAGCCACACUAUCACAUUGUGCAUCCUUCAACUCUGAGGAGCUGAACUCUAGACUAGAAGCCAGGAGUGUGCUAGUUUCUCCAGUUGUUGAAAAUCUUAGGAACCGUGUGCCUUCAACUGAGGCUGAAAUCAAGAGGGUUUCUAGCACUGGUGCUUUUGAGUCUGCAAGAAGUUCAAGUGCAUCGAAGACUGAGGAGACAAAUGAUUUGGCUUCCCAGAAAAAGGAGGAAACAGUUGCUCCAAAAAGGGCUCCAUCAAAGGAAAAACCUAGAGAUACUUGUACUGCUACAGAGGCUUUGGAAGGAAAGGAAACAAUGACCACAAAAUGGAGAAGGAUGUUGUGGAAAUCUGGCGUUUAUCUUGUUACAAUAGGAAUGUUGAUUGCACUUCUUUUGGGCCUAAACAUGUCAUGGUGUGCGAUUACUGCUGCACUUGCACUAGUCGUUCUUGAUUUCAAGGAUGCUCGGCCAAGCCUAGAAAAGGUACAUUUGAGAAAAUUGGUAAUUUUAACGUAUAGAUUACAACUGUUGAUAAGUUUCUAACCAAUGACCCUCAUGAUUUCUCUUAUUUGACCAGGUAUCCUAUUCCCUUUUAAUUUUCUUUUGUGGUAUGUUUAUAACUGUGGAUGGCUUCAACAAAACCGGCAUUCCAAGCGCUCUUUGGGACUUCAUGGAGCCCCAUGCAAAAAUUGAUCAUGUUGGCGGGAUAGCAGUUCUUGCUGUUACCAUACUUCUACUAUCAAAUGUGGCCUCAAAUGUGCCAACUGGUAAUGCUGAUGUUUUCUCCCAUGUAUAAACUUCUUUAUUACUGGUUUUAUGAUAAUGUUGGUCUGUUUGAUGAGGUAACGUUCUAGAAUCAAGAGUUGUUGCGUCGUAUAACUACUCUUAACUGUCUGAAAACUCGUAUUGGUUAUUAUAGACGUGCAUAUGUUUGUGUUACCUAAUGCUUGAUCUCAGUGUGAUUGGCCUUCUGCUGGAAUCCCUUCACAAGGGACUGAAUAUUGUAGUUGCUAGAAGAUAAGGAUAUCUGCAAAACUAAAUCUUCUUUGAUUAGGCAAGUGCUCUCAGGUACUGAUGAAGAAUGAAGCACCAAGUUUCAUCAAUUUGUAAUUAACAUUAGAAUCACAAAAUAGUCUCAUAAGUCAUAAGUCAUAACACAAAUUGAGUCACAAGUUAGAUGUGAACCAUACUACUCAUGAGCCUAGUGUAACAGUAGUCUUGCAAGAUUGGUCACUUUCAUUUCCAUGCCUGCAGAACUUAGGUAUUUAUGAGAGCGGUUAAGUGCUGAUCAGACUGUGAACAUGUUCUUUUUGUGCAGUUCUCUUGCUUGGAGGACGAGUGGCAGCAUCCGCGGCUUUAAUAUCAGUAGCGGAUGAGAAGAAGGCAUGGCUGCUUCUAGCUUGGGUGAGCACGGUUGCAGGAAACCUCUCACUUUUGGGAUCAGCAGCCAACUUGAUAGUAUGUGAACAGGCUCGGCAAGCUCCACACCUUGCAUACAAUUUGUCAUUCUGGAGCCAUCUCAAGUUUGGGGUGCCCUCCACUAUCAUAGUCACUGCUAUUGGUUUGACACUGAUAAGAUGACACUGUUGGUGAUGCAAGGUAUGGUUGUAUCUUUCUUUCUUGUUUUUUUUUUUCUUUUUUUUUUUUUGUUUGAUAAAAAGCUUAGGUUGUAUCACUUGUAUUGUAUGUAUAGCGUUUUGGUUCAAGGAAUGAAAGAAAGAAGUUUGAAGGGUAUUUAUUGGGCUGGAAUAUUGAAUUUGGGGCCUUCACCUCAACGAAAAUUAUACAGCGCACCCGGGUGCGCCGCGCACCCGUCCAUCUCCGCCGUCCAUUUUGAAAAAGUCAAAAGUCCGCGUCAAAUGGACGGGUGCGCUGAAUACGCUCUCUCAGCUCAAGCUGAAAGGGGUAUACUUGGCUGAUUUGGAAACAAACAAGCUGCUUAGUUUCACAAUAUGAAUCGUUACACUCUCACAAUCACAAUCCAAAGACACAGAGACAAGCCAAUGUCAUUUCAACUUGUCAAAUUUUCAACCAAUGAGUCAUGAGUCAUGAGUCAUUAUCAGAUUCAGUUGUCACGUUUCCAUCCAAUGCCAACAAAACAAAAAUAUAUAGGUAGCAUAUACAGAUCGAUUAACAUUAUCUCUUUGUCGCUCUCGCGUGUUAGAAAUUUUGUUCUCAUUUACUAGAGUCAGCAGAAUAAGAUCACCAGAUCCGUAACAGUCGUGCUGCACUUCUUCCUCACUUUCUAUUUUCUUUUUCUUCUCCCUCGUCUCUCUUCUAUUUUCUCUUCUUCCUCUUCUUCUUUCUCCCACUUUUUCUCCUCUUCUCCUUGUUUUUCCUUUUCCCCCUUCUCUUCUCCUUCUUUUCUCCUCUCCUCUCCUCUCUUCCUUCUCUUCUCUCUUCCUCUCUUAUCUUCUCUUCUCCUUCUCUUCUCUCUCUUCUUGCCUUCACUUCUCCUUGUCUUCCUUCUUUUCUUUCUGGCCUCUUUUGCUGUACUUCGGCUUCUCUCCAUAUACCUCUUUCCACUUCUUUUCCAUAUGCACCGGACACACCAAACGAUAGUCAAUGCAAGAUUUCUUCAAGGAUCGAGCCAGGGGCUCUGAUACCACGUGGUGGCAUAUUUGGUUUAGGCUUUUCCGAUCGAGGUAUAGAUAAACAUGAAUGUUGGGAGGAUUAAAGGAAUAAUGUGGAUGCAAAACAUAAGACUAAACAAAGAAGAAACACUAAAAUAAGAACAUAACAUGAAUGGAGAUGUGUAGCCCGAAGGCAUGCACAGAGCUCCUAGGCUAUCAAGGUGACUACCUUAUAGAAUAGGCUUUUAGAUAAGAAACAUAGAGGAUUUUGAUUAAACAACUUGAUACACCUUCAUAUAACUUCAUACUAUGAGUGGAAGAUUACACCAUCCUUAUAUAGGCUCAAGAGCUGCCUCUAGCUCUUCCUAACUCGUAAACAGACAACCUUUUAGCUCUUCCAAUCUCGCCGCACAAUCCGCCCUCCUCCAUCGCCGUAACCGCCGCGAUUCCCGCUCAAACUUCGCCGCACUUCAAAAGAUUUCCAAGUGCUUCCUCCUCCUGCAGCUCGGAGAUCACAAGCCAAGUGAUAGCGAGUGAAAUCAAAUUCCUUAUGGCCAUGAGAAGCGUCCAGAACAGCAGCGUCGACACCAUCAACGCCGCCGCCACCGCCAUCGUCUCCGCCGAAGCGCGCGUCCAGCCUACCUCCGUCCCCGUAACUACCUUCAC
rnacentral:lncRNA from 1 species